GAUAUAUAUAUGUUUUCUCUUAUAUAACACUAUUACGAGCAAUACGUAUUUAUCACUGUGUAAAUACCUAUACGGGGUAAACAGGGAUUCCGGCUAACAUCACGUGACAUAGAUCCGGGGUAUGUCUUGUUAUUUAUAGAUUAUGAGAUCAUAAUGGUCAGUAAUAGCACCAUGUAAAUAUUUAUAGAAUAUAGAACUCUCCAAUUUCAUUUGUUGUCUAAGUUCCCUCUCUUUGCUAUUGUUCAUAUUUUGAAUUGUGUUCUAAGAGUAUAGAUGUGUUUUCUAGAAGAUUUUCCCAGUACAUUUUGACUCAUGUAGAAUAUUCUGGACAUGACCAGAAUUUGGCUCUGUGUAAACUUAUACGGUAUUUUGAUGCACCAGAUGCGCAUUUCGACAAAUAAUGUCUCUUCAGUGAUGCUCAACCGAAAUGUUUGAAAUCCGAAAUAACUCGGUGUCACACAUAGGUAUGACAUUGCAAUUUUUGUAUAUUCUUUGCAUUAUGAUAAGUUUUGAAUAUUCUUAUCAAGUUGAUUAAGUUUACGUACGAUUAUUUAGUCUAUGAUUACAUGUAUUCAAGCGCAAUAGUUGAGUAAGAUAAAUCUAUUUAUCAUUUAUACCAUAUAGUAAUCAAUAGUCAAAUAUAUCUUUAUAAAUAAGCACUAUUAAGGGGAAUAACUCUUGGUUGUACACUGUGCUGAGCAAAUGAGUUUUCUUUGUUGAUAUUUUUAUACUAUAUGUUUUAAUUCAUGAUAUAUAUACCAUAUGUGAUAUUCUUCUUAUAUAUUUCAGAGCGAAUUAUAAAAGAAUACAAACUCUUAUUGAACC